CUAAGGGAGUGUUCCCUAGCCCUGGGAAGAACCUUCCAUGACCUGACUGUCUGUCGAAUCUAUCCAGAACUUACCCUGGCCCCGAACCCUCUCACAUGCCUGCCUCAUCACUGCUGAGCCCGCCCAGCUGACUCAAGACCACAGGCAAAUUGGGCUGUCUGGCCCUGAAUUUACUCCAGAUGUUCAGUCUCUGCAGAAUGAAGGAAGUGCCAGCCGUUAGAGCACUUCUAAAUUAAGGAGCCAGUGGCAGCAACACAUCUGAGAGCUGCCCAAGGUAAAGUGACGCAUCCCAGAUAACCCCAAAGGAGAAGCUGGCACGUGGCAGACAGGCACCUGGCACCUGCGACUGGAGCACACGUGUCAUCUCAGAGAGAGUGCAGCUGCACCGAGUGUAUCUUUUGGAUUCCUUCACUGCAUUGGCCACCGUGAGAGGGGAGUUUACAACGACCCGGUAAACCCCUCCCUAAGUGACUGUGGACCCCCUGCUGCCCUGCCCUGGCCAAGGAGACAAGGACCCCGAGAAAGGGAUGGAGCAGGAUUCAGGGGCGUUUCUUUGCUCCUAGAAGUAUUGGCAAGUGCUUCUCCCUGUGGUUCUAGAAAACUUAUUCAUUCUUCUCUUUCUUUCUUUCUUUCUUUCUUAUUUUAAACUUUUUAUUUGGCUUUAAAUUUACAGACAAUUAAUGUGUUUCAUCUGUUGUUAACAUUUUGGAAGAAGCAUUUACUUUAGAUUCCAAGGAAAAAUAUAAUUACGACCACUGUGUCCCCUCUAAAAACAGCAU
rnacentral:lncRNA from 10 species